GACGAACGCUGGCGGCGUGCUUAACACAUGCAAGUCGAACGGGAAUUCCCUGCUUUUGUGGUGUGCUCGAGUGUCGUACUGGUGAUUAACACGUGAGUAACCUGCCCUUGACUUUGUGAUUACUUCAGGAAACUGGGGCUAAUACCGGAUAGUUGCUCCUGCUUAAUGUUGUGGGUUGGAAUGUUUCGGCGGUUCGGGAUGGACUCGUGGCUUAUCAGCUUGUUGGUGGGGUAGUGGAUUACCAAGGCUUUGACGGGUAGACGGCCUGAGAGGGUCACCGGAAACAUUAGAACUGAGAUAAGGCACAGACUAAUACGGGAGGCAGCGGUGGGGAAGAUUGCACAAUGGGCGGAAGCAUGAUGCGGCAACGCCGCGUGGGGGAAAACGGGAAGCGGGUUGUAACCCGCAGUCGCCUGUGACGAAGAGUGAGUGACGGUAAUAGGGAAAGAAGCACCGGCUAACUACGUG
rnacentral:rRNA from 1 species